UGAAUGGUUUGGCUGGUCCACAACACAGUCUCAGGGAUGGAUGGUCAAGUUGUAUAUGGCUUCCACCAUGUACGAGAUGAAAAGCCAUAUCUUGCUCAAGGACCAGUUGCAAAUAAGGGCAGUUAAAGAGUGGAUGCCCAACUGCUCUGAUGUAGGCCGCUCCGAAUCAAUUAUCCGAUAUAUGGCGUCUCUUGAAGGAUUCUCAGUGGUCUCAUGCCUCUCUGUCAGGAUUCUCCCAAUUUGAAAGAGGGAACGAGUCCCUAAGACCGCUCUUUGGAAUUCCAAUAUAGAUGAAGAUAGAAGUGAAAUUUGAGGGCCAACAAAUAUGUUGUAUCGUGGAUGUCCCCCUUUACAUCAUUGUUUUAUGAAAUGCACUAACGCUCC